rnacentral:rRNA from 1 species
CCUACGGGAGGCUGCAGUGAGGAAUAUUGGUCAAUGGACGGAAGUCUGAACCAGCCAUGCCGCGUGCAGGAAGACGGCUCUAUGAGUUGUAAACUGCUUUUGUACAAGGGUAAACCUGAAUACGUGUAUUCAGCUGAAAGUACUGUACGAAUAAGGAUCGGCUAACUCCGUGCCAGCAGACGCGGUAAUACGGAGGAUCCAAGCGUUAUCCGGAUUUAUUGGGUUUAAAGGGUGCGGAGGCGGAUUGAUAAGUUAGAGGGUAAAUGUCCGAGCUUAACUCGGGAACUGCCGCUAAUACUGUUGAUCUAGAGAGUAGAUGCGGUAGGCGGAAUGUAUGGUGUAGCGGUGAAAUGCUUAGAGAUCAUACAGAACACCGAUUGCGAAGGCAGCUCACCAAUCUAUAUCUGACGUUGAGGCACGAAAGCGUGGGGAGCAAACAGGAUUAGAUACCCUGGUAGUC